rnacentral:rRNA from 1 species
UACGUAGGGUGCAAGCGUUAAUCGGAAUUACUGGGCGUAAAGCGUGCGCAGGCGGUUGUGCAAGACAGGUGUGAAAUCCCCGGGCUUAACCUGGGAACUGCACUUGUGACUGCACGGCUGGAGUACGGUAGAGGGGGAUGGAAUUCCGCGUGUAGCAGUGAAAUGCGUAGAUAUGCGGAGGAACACCGAUGGCGAAGGCAGUCCCCUGGGCCUGUACUGACGCUCAUGCACGAAAGCGUGGGGAGCAAACAGG